rnacentral:rRNA from 1 species
AACGCUGGCGGCAGGCUUAACACAUGCAAGUCGAGCGGGGGAAGGUAGCUUGCUACUGGACCUAGCGGCGGACGGGUGAGUAAUGCUUAGGAAUCUGCCUAUUAGUGGGGGACAACAUCUCGAAAGGGAUGCUAAUACCGCAUACGUCCUACGGGAGAAAGCAGGGGAUCUUCGGACCUUGCGCUAAUAGAUGAGCCUAAGUCGGAUUAGCUAGUUGGUGGGGUAAAGGCCUACCAAGGCGACGAUCUGUAGCGGGUCUGAGAGGAUGAUCCGCCACACUGGGACUGAGACACGGCCCAGACUCCUACGGGAGGCAGCAGUGGGGAAUAUUGGACAAUGGGGAGAACCCUGAUCCAGCCAUGCCGCGUGUGUGAAGAAGGCCUUAUGGUUGUAAAGCACUUUAAGCGAGGAGGAGGCUACUUUAGUUAAUACCUAGAGAUAGUGGACGUUACUCGCAGAAUAAGCACCGGCUAACUCUGUGCCAGCAGCCGCGGUAAUACAGAGGGUGCGAGCGUUAAUCGGAUUUACUGGGCGUAAAGCGUGCGUAGGCGGCUUAUUAAGUCGGAUGUGAAAUCCCCGAGCUUAACUUGGGAAUUGCAUUCGAUACUGGUGAGCUAGAGUAUGGGAGAGGAUGGUAGAAUUCCAGGUGUAGCGGUGAAAUGCGUAGAGAUCUGGAGGAAUACCGAUGGCGAAAGCAGCCAUCUGGCCUAAUACUGACGCUGAGUACGAAAGCAUGGGGAGCAA